rnacentral:rRNA from 1 species
GGGAAUAUUGGACAAUGGGCGAAAGCCUGAUCCAGCAAUACCGCGUGUGUGAAGAAGGCCUUCGGGUUGUAAAGCACUUUCAAUUGGGAGGAAAACCUACCGGUCAAUACCCGGUAGCUUGACAUUACCUUUAGAAGAAGCACCGGCUAACUCCGUGCCAGCAGCCGCGGUAAUACGGAGGGUGCAAGCGUUAAUCGGAAUUACUGGGCGUAAAGCGUGCGUAGGUGGUUCGUUAAGUCAGAUGUGAAAGCCCUGGGCUCAACCUGGGAACUGCAUUUGAAACUGGCGGACUAGAGUUUAGUAGAGGGGAGUGGAAUUUCAGGUGUAGCGGUGAAAUGCGUAGAUAUCUGAAGGAACACCAGUGGCGAAGGCGACUCCCUGGACUAAAACUGACGCUGAGGUACGAAAGCGUGGGUAGCAAACA